rnacentral:rRNA from 1 species
AACGAACGCUGGCGGCAGGCUUAACACAUGCAAGUCGAACGGGCGUAGCAAUACGUCAGUGGCAGACGGGUGAGUAACACGUGGGAACCUUCCUCGUAGUACGGGACAACUCAGGGAAACUUGAGCUAAUACCGUAUACGUCCGAGAGGAGAAAGAUUUAUCGCUAUGAGACGGGCCCGCGUCCGAUUAGGUAGUCGGUGGGGUAACGGCCUACCAAGCCGACGGUCGGUAGCUGAUCUGAGAGGAUGAUCAGCCACACUGGGACUGAGACACGGCCCAGACUCCUACGGGAGGCAGCAGUGGGGAAUCUUGGACAAUGGGCGCAAGCCUGAUCCAGCCAUGCCGCGUGAGUGAAGAAGGCCUUAGGGUUGUAAAGCUCUUUUGCCAGGGACGAUAAUGACGGUACCUGGAGAAUAAGCCCCGGCAAACUUCGUGCCAGCCGCCGCGGUAACAC